UACGUAGGGGGCAAGCGUUGUCCGGAAUCAUUGGGCGUAAAGCGCGCGUAGGCGGCCCGGUAAGUCCGCUGUGAAAGUCAAAGGCUCAACCUUUGAAUGCCGGUGGAUACUGUCGGGCUAGAGUCCGGAAGAGGCGAGUGGAAUUCCUGGUGUAGCGGUGGAAUGCGCAGAUAUCAGGAGGAACACCCGUGGUGAAAGCGGCUCUCUGGGACGGUACUGACGCUGAGACGCGAAAGCGUGGGGAGCAAACAGG
rnacentral:rRNA from 1 species